rnacentral:lncRNA from 10 species
CAGGCUGGAGUGCAGUGGCAUGAUCUUGGCUCACCACAACCUCCGCCUCACGGGUUCAAGCGAUUCUCCUGCUUCAGCCUCCCAAGUAGCUGGGAUUUCAGGCAUGCACCACCACGCCUGGCUAAUUUUUGUAUCUUUAGUAGAGACAGGGUUUCACUAUGUUGGCCAGACUAGUCUCGAACUCCUGAUCUUGUGAUCCACCCACCUCGACCUCCCAAAGUGCUGGGAUUACAGGCGUGAGCCACCACGCCCGGCCUUGUAAUUCUUUAUUUACUGGGUAAACUUAAAGAAUCUCAGUAUAAGAUUGAUGCUACUUGAGAUUUACCAAUAAAAGGUUUUCCCUGAAAGGCUAUUUUUUUAAAAAAAAAAAAAAAAAUUGUACCACUGAUUCUUCCAGGUUUUUUUUAAUCUCAAGGGAAAAUGAGGAGAUGGGAAAUUAUUACCUAUCACCUCAAUCUUAGUAGCUUUUAAAUUUUUUUUCUACUUCCGUUUCAUGAUGACUGUUAUUUCAGGACCAAAUUAAUGAAAAAGGUACAAAUGUAUCCAAAAUAAACUUAUUUUAAGGACACCUUGUUGCAGAUCCUAAAAAUUCAACUAGAACUUUCCAUUUAAGAGCAUAAUCCAUGAUCUGGGACACGUCUAUGGACUGUGCAGUGUAAAUUCUAUCCAGAAACUCAGGGACUUGCCUGUAACCUUAAGAACAAUCCACUUAAUUAGUCUUUCUUUAGAUAAGCUCUUCAAAUGAACAAAAUGUUGCUCUGUGCCUUCCUUGCAGAUUGUUCUCAUCCAUGUUCACAGUGUACUGAUAAACCUUUCAUUUUUGGUUCCACCCCCUCUCCACCCUCUUCGUACUCCUGGGUGCUGCAAAGAGCCCCAUGGUGCUGUGUCCAUGCUGAAAACACCUCCUAGUGCCCUCCAGUGCCAUGGGCCCAGGACCAUGCAGCUUUCUGUCCACUAAGCCCCAGACCUACAUUCCAGCAAUACUAGGGACACUCAAGGCCCAAAGGGCUUUCUGAUCUUUGCACUCAUUGUUUCCUAAAUCUUAAACUCUUUUCCCUCCUUUAUCCAUCCUUCUCUCAACUUAGACUGAUCCUUCACAUCUCAGCAAAGACAUCACUGCCCCCAGAAAGCCCUCCCAGACCCCCACCUCGCCCACUUUAAGAAUGACUUUAAAGAUCAGUGCUGAUCUCUACAGUGUGCUUUUCAUGGCAUAUUCUUGCCUGCAUCUUCCUGCUCACACAGCAAGAUUGUUCUCCCUCCCUCAAAGAAAAGCACAUACGAAGCCUCAAUAUUUGAUAAGUGUUCACUAAAACCAAGGAUGUAAAGUCAAACAACUAUGAAAAUGUUUGACAUUGAAAUAUGUAAGAUUCUUCUUAAAGCUCUGCAACAGGCAAUUCUGAACACUUGCUAGAUGUAUUGUUUUUGAGUCCCCACUGUUAAGCACUUAAAAGACAUUACUACUAAUCUCACUGAGCCUCUAACCAGGAAGGCAUAUGAUCCCUCACUUCAGAGAUAAUGAAAUGAAGUCCUGACACCCUUACUAACGUCAGGUGGUGACGUUAAGCGGUGGUGCUCCUAUUCAAAAACUCAGACUCCAAAGCCUGUACUCUUUCCUUCAUACCAGUGGUUCUAAAAUUGUGGGCCAGGGUUUCUGUAGGGUCUGUGAGACCAGAACUAUUUCUACAUGAUCCUGAGAUGUUAUUUGCUUUUUCAUCCUCAUUUUUUCCAAAUAAGCUGUAAACUUGUCCAGAGGCUUAUGACUAGCACAUAGACUACAUUCAGAAGCAGAUGUGAAAAUCAAUAUUUGAUAAAUAUAAAACAAUGCCACUAAUUUUGUCUUGCGAAAACUUAUCUUUCAUUUUUUAAAAAGUUAUCUUUCAUUUAAAAAGUAUUAUGUAUGUUAACACAUAAUGGUUUAUUAUUUUUAAAUAAUUAACAAAUCAAUAUUUUAAACUUUCAUCAAUAUUUUAGCCAGGCAGGGUGGCUCAUGCCUGUAAUCCCAGCACUUUGGGAGGCCACAGCGGGUGGAUCAUCUGAGGUCAGGAGUUUGAGACCAGCCUGGCCAACAUGGUGAAACCCCAUCUCUACUAAAAAUACAAAAAAAAAAGCUGGGCGUGGUGGCGGGUGCCUGUAAUCCCAACUACUAGGGAGUAUGAGCAGGAGAAUUGCUUGAACCUGGGAGAAGGAGGUUGCAGUGAGCCAAGAACGCGCCACUGCCCUCUAGCCUGGGCGAAAGAGUAAGACUCCGUCUCAAAAAUAAAGAAAGACAUAAAUACAUAGGUAAACAAUAAAAAACUUAAAACUUUCUGAGACAGUAAAUAUCAAUACAUAUAACUCACAUAGCUAACACACACUCUUUGGAGUCCCCAGUAAUUUUUAAGAAUGUGUAGAGGUCUGAGAUGAAAAGUUUGAGAAAAACUGUUCUAAUUAGCUAUUGAAAAAGAAAUAUAAGCUAGGGUUUUUCCCUUCCCUGUAAAUCUUAUCAAAUAAUCGAAAAGUCUAGCACUUCCAUUAAAGAAAUGUCCAUAUACCAAAAUGUGUAAUUUUUCACAUUGUGAUCUGAUGAACUGUGGCCUUUUUGUUCUAACAUUUUUCUUUGUUGACUUUUCAAUAUAAAGUUAAACUUAUCUUUAAAGAUACUUAAAUGUGUUCCAUAAUCUAGAAAAUAUCCAUUCAGAAGCCAGGAAACACAUAAAGAACAUAAUUUCUAUUUUUAAAAAGCGAAAAACUCAAGAAGAGUUAAGUCUACCUGAAAGUGAUAUUUUCAUUAUCAAGUUAAAUGGACAUUUCAACCUAAUCUGGUAUCUUCCCUGAUACCUGGUAUAGUAUUGAGCCACUACUCCAUCAUAUAUAAAAUGCAAAAUAAUUUUAGUAGCUCUAAAGCAAAACAUAAUUAAAUAAAAAUAUUUCCUAGGGUAGAAUGUCAAUCAUUCAGAGAGAGAGAUUUUAAAGGUAUAGGAUAGUAUUUUGAAUUACCCAUAUUAUUAUCCUCCUCACAUGUGGCAACACAGUCUAAAAGGGGGAUAAUAUUUGCACAAAUCAAAUUUAGUUAUUUCAUAACUAAGGCUGUAUUACAUAAUAUUUAACCUAUCCUUAAAAAUAAAGUUAAUUUUGGUGAAACCUCGUUUCCACUAAAAAUACAAAAAUUAGCCAGGCACGGUGGUGCGCGCCUGUAGUCCCAGCCACUCAGGAGGCUGAGGCAGGAGAAUCGCUUGAACCUGGGAGGCAGAGGUUGCAGUGAGCCAAGAUUGCGCCACUGACUCCAGCCUGGCAACAGAGUGAGACUUCAUCUCAAAAAAUAAUAAAUAAAUAAAGUUAAUUUUACAUUGUAUCUACAUGGGAAAUGACAUAAUUAUGUAGCAAGGUUUGCACUUCAGGAGAUCAGAAGCUAAAAUUAGAGGAGAAUUAACAUAUAUACCAUGGAGUGGACAUUAUACUAGGCACUCGGUAUAUGUUAAGCCCACUUAAUCUAACACCCUUUGUGCUGGGUGCUAUUUUUCCUGCUUAACUAAUGAAAAAUCUGAGGUAAAGAGAAGUUAAAUCCUUUGCCUAAGAUCACCAGGUUAAUAAGCAAUAGAGCUGGGGUCCACAUAUCUUUCUAACUUUAAAGUCUAUGUUCUGUGCCUGAGACUUCACACCUCCCUAGCCUUAUGUUCAAAACUGAGUGUUUCAAAAUCUGAAGAGGAUGCAAAGUUAAGCAGAAAUAAGAAAGCAAAUAAUCAAUGAGCAAAAUGGAAAACAUAAUUGUACUUAGAAUGAAAAUACCUCAAAUGUCCUAGUUUACAUCCCUGUAAAGGUCCUGAGUUUGCCUAUAAUGACACAUUCAAAGAAGGAGGGAAUGCAUGUGGGCUCUCCUGAAGUCUAGCACCGGACACAGCAGGCAUGGAGCCUCCACUGGUCAAGGAUUCAAACGCCACAGACUCACACAUGUCCUCUGAAAUGCCCACUGAGGCAUCUGUACUCUUAAAACCCAGGAAAGCUGGAGGAGAGCAACAAUUCUCAUCCAGGGAUCAGAUUAUAAUCACAGGGUGUCUUCCAAACUGUGCUCACCCUCCGGUGAAGACAGAGGAUGUCGGAAUGAGAAGUCUGAGAAACCACUGCUCUAAAAUAUCCCUUGCUUAGUAAGAAACUUUCCAGGGAAUAAGAAAAUAAUAAUUCCUAAAAACUAAGUCACAUUCAUUUCUGUCCUAAAAGCCACCCAGGUCUGCUGGCCUCAGAGACAGUACUUUUGGUCCGCUUUGAGGAGAGGCGUUCUGCCCUGAGGUUAUAUAAGAAUCACCAAGGGUGGUUAUAUGAGGAUCACCAAGGUCUUCAGGGAAGCUGCCCUGCCCACCGGCUGAGGGCAGCUUCCCUGAAGCCACUACUUGUCCUGUGGUCCCAGGAGUCUUCCUGACCUCCACUCCCUCAGCCCAGCUUAGGACGAAGCUUCAGAGCCUCUGUAUUAAAUGCCUGCGUGAAUCUAAAAUUAAAAAAAAAAAAAUUUUUUUUUUUUUAGAUGGAGUCUCGCUCUGUUGCCCAGGCUGGAGUGAAGUGGCACAAUCUCAGCUCACUGCAACAUCCACCUCCCAGGUUCAAGCGACUCUCUUGCCUCAGCCUCCCAAGCAGCUGGGACUACAGGCAUGCACCACCAUGCCCAACUAAUUUUUUGUAUUUUUUAAUAGAGACGGGGUUUCACCAUGUUGGCCAGUUUGGCAUUGAACUCCUGAUCUCAGAUGAUCUGCCUGCCUCGGCCUCCCAGAGUGCUGGGAUUGCAGGCAUGAGCCAUUGUGCCUGGCCUAAAAUACUUUUUUUUUCUUUUUUUUAAUGAAC